rnacentral:rRNA from 1 species
ACCCCAAGUGCCACUCUUAACGGGGUGGCUUUUCAGAAGUGUAAAAAGCUUCUGGAAUAAGGGCUGGGCAAGACCGGUGCCAGCCGCCGCGGUAACACCGGCAGCUCAAGUGGUAGCCGCUUUUAUUGGGCCUAAAGCGUCCGUAGCCGGUCUGAUAAGUCUCUGGUGAAAUCCCACAGCUUAACUGUGGGAAUUGCUGGAGAUACUAUCAUGACUCGAGGUCGGGAGAGGCUGGAGGUACUCCCAGGGUAGGGGUGAAAUCCUGUAAUCCUGGGAGGACCACCUGUGGCGAAGGCGUCCAGCUGGAACGAACCUGACGGUGAGGGACGAAAGCCAGGGGCGCGAACCGGAU